CAUUAGACAGAUCCAGAGAAUACUGAUUAUGCUGCUGAAGCUGGUGCUUAUAGAACAUUUCAAGCAGAGGCCAUUGCUGUGAGAGAGAUUGAGCGCAAGCAACAAGAGAAAGAAGAAGAGGAGGCCAACAACCCAAUGCUGGCAUUAGAAAACAGGACCAAAGAGUCAAGGAGAGAGAUGGACAUUCUUGACGUGCUUGAAGAGAUAAAGGACAUAAACGCUCAACAAGAAGGAGUCUCAUUUGAACAACUAAUGGAGAAACACCU